UAUUGUUGUGAAGGACCCAACGGAUUGAAACCCGGAAAUGAGUAUAAGGGAACUCGAGGGAAAAGAGGGAAAUCGGCGACACCUUCGCUGCCCUCAAACAAGGUCAUUUCCUGCAUGGGAUCUAUAAGUUUCCUGUUUACUCAACGAAGUCAGCGUAACCGGGCUGUCUGGAACAUACGCGAUGAUUUCUAUGAGCCUUUGGCCUCCCGCUUCCCACUUAUUUACACUCACUGAAAGAAUGACACACUGGAAAGGGAAAGCAUGGGUUUUUCCCUGCUGUUAGGGACCGGUAGAGAAACUGACCUCACUGUAAAAGCCAAGGACCGACAUUGGAUCACAGUGUUCUAGCAGGAACUGCUACAAGACUUCGAAGGCCAAGGAUGACACACCAGGCUAUAUUGCAUUUGGCAUUUCUAGGAAGAAGACGGAAAAGGAGACUCCUAAUCACCUUCUACCUGGACGUAAGAUCGCACACGCCACGUAAGUCAACUCACCCUGUUCAGGAUCCAGAUUAAUGAGGACAAGCAAAUACGCUAAGUGAAAUGAGUCAAAUGGAGAAAAACAAAUACUGUAUGAUUCCACUCAAAUGGAAGAUAAAAUUAACAAAGCAAAAAAAUAGUCCCUGAGUCUGGCAACAGAAUGGUAGUUAGUAGAAGGAAAGGGAGGAUGCAGGGUAAGUAAAACUAAAGUGGACAAUUAGAUGGAAACUAGACCUUCAGUAUAAUGUAGUUUAUAACAUGUCAAAAUAUAAAGCUGUAUAUCUGAGACUUAGAGACAGAGAAACAAAAGAACAAACAAAACAAAACAAUCUCUUAAAGUAUGAGAUCAAAUGGUGGUCACCAAAGGGGAGAGGAUUGAGCAGGGCGGUGGUAUGGACAAGUUCAGUAAAGGGAAUCAAUAAUAUGAUAAUAGAUGGAAACUUGAUUUUGGGUGGGGAUCAAUUAUAAUGCUGUACAUCUGAA